GGCUCGGUAGUUAAGUCGGUAAAGCACUUGUGCAGCAUAUAAGGGUCGUGAGUUCAAAUUUCACUUAAGCUG
rnacentral:tRNA from 1 species